AUUGAACGCUGGCGGCAGGCCUAACACAUGCAAGUCGAGCGGAGCGGCGGACGGGUGAGUAAUGCCUAGGAAUCUGCCUGGUCGUGGGGGAUAACGUCCGGAAACGGGCGCUAAUACCGCAUCCUCUCAGAUGAGCCUAGGGCGGAGUAGCUAGUGGGUGGGGUAAAGGCAUACCAAGGCGACGAUCCCUAACUGGUCUGAGAGGAUGAUCAGCCACACUGGAACUGAGACACGGCCCAGACUCCUACGGGAGGCAGCAGUGGGGAAUAUUGGACAAUGGGCGAAAGCCUGAUCCAGCCAUGCCGCGUGUGUGAAGAAGGUCUUCGGAUUGUAAAGUACUUUAAGUUGGGAGGCGUUACCAACAGAAGAAGCACCGGCUAACUUCGUGCCAGCAGCCGCGGUAAUAC
rnacentral:rRNA from 1 species